CUGUUGAGCUUCGCUUUAGUCUGACAUUGAGGAGAGUCAUGAGAGGUGUUGCAUAAAUUAGAGCUUUAUAGCAGCAGUGGAAUACUACUCUUUUCAUCAACUCUUCACUUAUUUGGUUAAACGAGACCUGAGUUAUAACAACAACUCUUGGUUCUGAUGCUUAAGUGUGAUGUUUGCACGACCCCCCACUAUGACAUUGUAACGCUGGGAGUUUGACUGCAGCGUUACGUCUGUAAAAUAAUAAAGCAGUAUCCUGGUGCUGGACAGGCCAUUAUUAUUUGGACGGCUUAAUCUCCAGUUGCAAAUAUGCUCCUCUUGAUGACUUAGCUAGGUGGUUGAGGGGUUAUUUGGUUAUCAAAG
rnacentral:ncRNA from 1 species